rnacentral:rRNA from 1 species
UACGUAGGUGGCGAGCGUUGUCCGGAUUUACUGGGCGUAAAGCGCGCGCAGGCGGUUCUGUAAGUCCUGGGUGAAAUCGCCCGGCUCAACUGGGCGGGGGCCUGGGGGACUGCGGGACUGGAGGGGCCUAGAGGCCGGUGGAACUCCCGGUGUAGUGGUGAAAUGCGUAGAGAUCGGGAAGAACACCAGUGGCGAAGGCGGCCGGCUGGGGGCGCCCUGACGCUGAGGCACGAAAGCCAGGGGAGCAAACGGG